GCUGAGAAGGGUGUUGAUUGGAUCCAGUUGCUUUGGCUUUCUGGAAUCCAGUGUGCAGUGUCAGUCCCUUCUGCUGGUGUAAACCACGAGUAGCUGAGCUGAAAUCCAUGGAGUGCAGGGUCUACUGCAGAAAGUACCCGUGACAUCCUUCCUGCUGCUGGAAACACUACACAUUAACUGUGUGCUCUGCUGAGCAGUUCCUGAAGUCCAUUACAUCUCUACCCUCCAGUCUGGCUAAUACAACG